GCAGGGGCCGGCCAAAGCCCAAGGAUAAAAUGGCUCAGUUGGCUGCAUACUUUGUGUAGUCUGACAAACACUAUCAAUCUACAGGUGCAUAUAUUAUAAUUUAAAGAGGUGAGAGCAUUUUAACAAAAUUGUCACAACUCACUUGCUUAUUUUAUGAAGUCUAGGUAAAGGCUGUUGUUUCAGAGUGAAUUAGUGCUGUAUCAUUUACUUCAAAUACGUGGUUAUUGAAUGUAAAGAAUAAAAUUUCGCACACAAGUAAACC
rnacentral:misc_RNA from 1 species